UGCAGUAAGUUCUUAAAAACAUUUCCUUAAAGAACUAGGCAUUUUGUUAUUAAGUGUGAUCUGUUAACUUCUUUGUACAGACUGUUUUGAAGUAUUUAGUUUAAAUGCUUUAUUGGUACAUAAUAUGAAAAUACAUUUUCUUAUACCAUAAACCAUAUUGUCUACUCUUAUUUUAUUAUUAAAGCGCUGAAUUAGCACAGCUUGUUGAGUCAACAUAUAACCAGUGCAGACAGAAAAACAAAACAAAAAGAGGGCAAAAUGGUUAAUGGCUAUAGCUCUUAGAAAUGAGUGUGUAUUUCCAAAUGUCAGUCUGUUUUUAGAAAAAAUUUAGUCGAUAGUAAGUGUCCCAAACCUGGGACCUAGGAAAUUAUAAAUACAGAUUCCUGGAAACCACCCCUGAAGUUCUUAUUCACCAAAUCUGGAGUGAUGCAUAAGAAUUUUAGAAGCAGUCCUGGUGAUAACUGCUUUGCAGUUCGGUUUGAGAAUCAAUGAUAAGGCCAACCUUUUCACUUUAUAGAUGAACUAAAUGAAGUCUAAGGGGUCAGAGCAACUAGAAUAUGUUCCAGAAUCUUGGAAAGUGUACAUUCCACUGCUUGUUUCAGUAGGGAGCGAAGAUUUAAGUCACACUGAGGUUGGCUCCUAAAUCGCUAUGACUAGAAGAUCCACACUAUGAAUUGUUGCUUGUUGGCCAUGAUUUUUCCUAGAAUUAUACUGAAUAUUCUUUCGAAAGGAAAAGAUACAUCUGGAAAGGGCCUCAUAGCUUGCUAUUGAACAUUUCUGUAGUCUCACUUUGUUUGAAAAAUUGAACAUUCAGUAAUCUAUAUAGACAUCCUUACAGACUUUUUUUUUUUUUAGCAAAAUAUGCAUUUGUAACUGAAGAGAAUUGUGAACAUUGAGAAGUAGGUUUAUAGCCCCGUUGUCUGCUUUGCCAUAUAGGGUGUGUUGUGGUAAUUCCGUCUGCAUGCAAAAUGCUGGCCAAGGUUGGCAGACAAACACAGAGAGCCAGUUUUUUGGCAUAAAUCUCUGAUUUUCUGGCGAAACUUGUUAGCAAUGUAAAAGCUGUUAUUGAGAGCAUAUUGUGAUGAUACAUCAUGUCAAUAUUUGUUUGGCUGAGU
rnacentral:lncRNA from 1 species